AAUGGGUCAGCGACUUAUAUUCUGUAGCAAGGUUAACCGAAUAGGGGAGCCGAAGGGAAACCGAGUCUUAACUGGGCGUUAAGUUGCAGGGUAUAGACCCGAAACCCGGUGAUCUAGCCAUGGGCAGGUUGAAGGUUGGGUAACACUAACUGGAGGACCGAACCGACUAAUGUUGAAAAAUUAGCGGAUGACUUGUGGCUGGGGGUGAAAGGCCAAUCAAACCGGGAGAUAGCUGGUUCUCCCCGAAAGCUAUUUAGGUAGCGCCUCGUGAAUUCAUCUCCGGGGGUAGAGCACUGUUUCGGCAAGGGGGUCAUCCCGACUUACCAACCCGAUGCAAACUGCGAAUACCGGAGAAUGUUAUCACGGGAGACACACGGCGGGUGCUAACGUCCGUCGUGAAGAGGGAAACAACCCAGACCGCCAGCUAAGGUCCCAAAGUCAUGGUUAAGUGGGAAACGAUGUGGGAAGGCCCAGACAGCCAGGAUGUUGGCUUAGAAGCAGCCAUCAUUUAAAGAAAGCGUAAUAGCUCACUGGUCGAGUCGGCCUGCGCGGAAGAUGUAACGGGGCUAAACCAUGCACCGAAGCUGCGGCAGCGACACUGUGUGUUGUUGGGUAGGGGAGCGUUCUGUAAGCCUGCGAAGGUGUGCUGUGAGG
rnacentral:rRNA from 1 species